GAUCCGGUGCGCGAGAGGUAAGCGAACUGUCUGCAAAACAGUUUACAUGGGUUCGAGUCCCAUCCGGAUCU
rfam:Microgenomates (Woesebacteria) bacterium GW2011_GWA1_39_8 TT61_C0041, whole genome shotgun sequence.